UCUCGUCUUAGCCAAUGAAUGAGUACAUCCCGCCCCUCCUGCACAGCUGCUGGCCGCACAGCAUUUCUACCCCUGUGAAAGAGAGCUGGGAAGCAGGAGCAGAGGUCGUUUCAGAUCAGUCCCUCCCACAAGGGGCCAAUCUCGUAGGAAGCAAGUGACACAACAAUGGGGGACAAGAAUAAAAAUCAGAGGAACAAGAGAAUCUUGAAUCUCACACUGGAGAUGAUCUAUCUGCUGACUGGAGAGCACUACAUCCCUAGGAAGAAGUCAGAUGAUGGGGGGGCCC